UACGAGGGGGGGCGAGCGUUGUUCGGAAUUAUUGGGCGUAAGGGGUGCGUAGGCGGCCUGACAAGUCUGAUGUGAAAUCCCUGGGCUCAACCCAGGGCCUGCAUCGGAAACUGUCGGGCUUGAGUAUGGGAGAGGUGAGUGGAAUUUCCGGUGUAGCGGUGAAAUGCGUAGAUAUCGGAAGGAACACCUGUGGCGAAAGCGGCUCACUGGACCAUUACUGACGCUGAGGCACGAAAGCUAGGGGAGCAAACAGG
rnacentral:rRNA from 1 species